rnacentral:rRNA from 1 species
GAUGAACGCUGGCGGCGUGCCUAAUACAUGCAAGUCGAGCGAACAGACGAGGAGCUUGCUCCUCUGACGUUAGCGGCGGACGGGUGAGUAACACGUGGAUAACCUACCUAUAAGACUGGGAUAACUUCGGGAAACCGGAGCUAAUACCGGAUAAUAUAUUGAACCGCAUGGUUCAAUAGUGAAAGACGGUUUUGCUGUCACUUAUAGAUGGAUCCGCGCCGCAUUAGCUAGUUGGUAAGGUAACGGCUUACCAAGGCAACGAUGCGUAGCCGACCUGAGAGGGUGAUCGGCCACACUGGAACUGAGACACGGUCCAGACUCCUACGGGAGGCAGCAGUAGGGAAUCUUCCGCAAUGGGCGAAAGCUUGACGGAGCAACGCCGCGUGAGUGAUGAAGGUCAUCGGAUCGUAAAACUCUGUUAUUAGGGAAGAACAAAUGUGUAAGUAACUAUGCACGUCUUGACGGUACCUAAUCAGAAAGCCACGGCUAACUACGUG